UCGAGGGGCAUCAGGAUGUAGCAAUACAUUGCUGGCGACCGGCGCACGGGUGAGUAACACGUAUCCAACCUGCCUUUUACUCGGGGAUAGGCUUUCGAAAGAAAGAUUAAUACCCGAUGGCAUAAUAUUUCCGCAUGGGAUUAUUAUUAAAGAAUUUCGGUAAAAGAUGGGGAUGCGUUCCAUUAGGCAGUUGGCGGGGUAACGGCCCACCAAACCUUCGAUGGAUAGGGGUUCUGAGAGGAAGGUCCCCCACAUUGGAACUGAGACACGGUCCAAACUCCUACGGGAGGCAGCAGUGAGGAAUAUUGGUCAAUGGGCGGAAGCCUGAACCAGCCAAGUAGCGUGAAGGAUGACUGCCCUAUGGGUUGUAAACUUCUUUUAUAGGGGAAUAAAAUGAGCCACGUGUGGCUUUUUGUAUGUACCCUAUGAAUAAGGAUCGGCUAACUCCGUGCCAGCAGCCGCGGUAAUACGGAGGAUCCGAGCGUUAUCCGGAUUUAUUGGGUUUAAAGGGAGCGUAGGUGGACAUGUAAGUCAGUUGUGAAAGUUUGCGGCUCAACCGUAAAAUUGCAGUUGAUACUGUGUGUCUUGAGUACAGUAGAGGUGGGCGGAAUUCGUGGUGUAGCGGUGAAAUGCUUAGAUAUCACGAAGAACUCCGAUUGCGAAGGCAGCUCACUGGACUGUUACUGACACUGAGGCUCGAAAGUGUGGGUAUCAAACAGGAUUAGAUACCCUGGUAGUCCACACAGUAAACGAUGAAUACUCGCUGUUUGCGAUAUACAGCAAGCGGCCAAGCGAAAGCAUUAAAGUAUUCCACCUGGGGAGUACGCCGGCAA
rnacentral:rRNA from 1 species